rnacentral:lncRNA from 1 species
ACUCUUAUGCUUACAUUCAUUUUCCUCUCCUCCUUCCCAAACCUAUAAAUCACAGAUUGCUCUGAGAAAACAAAGAUGGGCAACAUUUGCAAGAUCAGCACUUACGAUGAGGAGUGACGGGAAGGGAAACUGCAGUGAAGGAAGGAUGGGAAGGGAUCAAAGGAAACGACCUGUGGUUAUCUUGCAAUGUGUUUUUUUUUUCUUCAAAAUGGAAAAAGUAAGUUAAAGGAAUGGAAGAAGCCUGUUCACAAGUCAGGAGGUCUUGCUCGUCACUGAGUACUUUUUGCAAUGUUCAGCUCUACAAACACUCAAAUGGUGAUUCUGUUCCAAAACCCUGGCAAAACAAGUCAGUCCCCAAACACAAUGGCUGCUGGCAGCUGGUGGCCUGACUCACUGCCAAACCACUCGACCCUGCAGCUUAUCGGGUGAUUUAACAUUGUUAAAGGCUUCUAAGCAAAAC